UUUAGUCUGUGUUACUUUACCUUUAGAAAUGAAUUCAUGAUGGGGAAUGUUUCAUGUAUUUAUAUUAUUUCUUUCUUGGUUCAAAGAGGAAAAUUAACAGCUGGUUUGGGUUGUUGCUGUUUCUCCUCCAUGGCGUCCCGGUGGCCACAGAGAAUUUCAUCCAGGACUCGUCCACCUCUGCUUUUCUAGUUCUCUUUGGUUUUGUUGCAGUCUUCAUGCUGGUUCUCUCAGUCGUCUUUGUUGCGUACAAGUGGAAACAAAACAAAAAUGAGAGAAGUGAAGACGAGACAGACAUGCAAAGUCCAACGGAAAAUGAGGUCGAAUGUGUAAGUAAAUGAAAAGAGACAAAGACAGAGGUCAGUGUCCUGUAUGGGACUGUAGGGAUGACGGGGUGAUCCAAAAGAAGUGCUUCAAGACCAAGACCAAGACCAAGACAAGAACACAGCGAGACAAACUGGAGCAACAUCACAGAGAACCUGACAGAGCACAAAGACAGAUAUAUAUCUAGAUAGAUAGAUAGAUAGAUAGAUAGAUAGAUAGAUAGAUAGAUAGAUAGAUAGAUAGAUAGAUAACUUUAUUCAUCCCCGAAGGGAAAUAAGGUUGUCACAGCAGUCCAGUAUUUGGAUACAAUAAAAUACAAUAGAAUAUAGAUAUCUAUAACAAGACACAGGUGAGACCAAUGAGGGCGAAGACACAAGGAGAAACCUAUCAACCAAUCAAAGUGGGGAAAAACACAGGAAGUAAAACCAGGAAACACAAGAAAAACAAACAGAAAAGGUCAAAUAUAAAAAUAAGCUGUAAGCUGAUGCACAGAACAGGGCCAGUCUGAGAAAAGUGAAAAAACUAAAAAAAAAAACUCUGGCAAGUCAGCCAGGCUGACAGUCUGUUAGGGGGGUCGCAGUGUCUUUGAUUGAUUAGACAUUUACUAUAUAUAUUUAAAAAAUAAAAUAAAUAAAUAAAUAAAAUCCCCCACAAUUUUAAAUUAAAUGCGCUGUAAAUCUAAGCCUCCUGUACCCAGUAGGCCCCGCCCCUAUCGCUGCUGAGCCAAUCACAAGGCUGCAUAUUUCACUCUGACUCACUGUCAGGUUCCUGCAAUUGGCCAAGAGCCUCUUCAGUCCC